CUGCCUAGUGUGCAAACUGACUGGAUGAGCCAGUGCUUAAGCUCACCAAGUUUAAGCAAGAGAGAAAGUUCAGCCCUUUGCCUCCUGCAGUCCCAAGGUGCAGUAAGAUGAGGCAGGGCUAUGGCCCAAGUCCUCCAGCAACUAUUUCAAAACGCUUUGCAGUGGCAUCAUAGGAGUGAUCUCAACGUGGAUAUCUGGAACCCAGCACGGACUACACCAUGCUUUAUCCAAUGUUUCCUCUGCUGUCACAGAGGCACUGGUAAUGCGACGUGUAAUUUCAUUUCUCGAGCCCGCGCUUCCGUGCCCCGCGCCGCGAGGGGUGUCACCGCUCCCUUCGAACUCCCGGCUGCGGCUCCCAUCGCGCCACUGCUGCGGCUCCGGUUUUCUCCGUGUGGACAUCUAACAUGGGAGCAAUGAGCAUAAUUCCUAACAAGCUGCCAAAGGAGCAUAGCAGGACUGAGCCAUACUGAGACAGUAAACACUAACAGAGACAAUUUAUCACUUGGCAAAAUGUUUUUGCUGGUAUUUGGCUCCGAUAAGCCAAGGGCUCUUGCAGUGCCUGCCUAAAUCUGAUUUUGUUUGCGAGCAGCGUGAGCGCUGCGGUGACCUUUGCCUCGGCGGCCGAGCUCUGCGGCUCCGGGAAGGUUCACGAGGGGGUCACGGAGCGGCCGGCUUCCUCCGCGCGCGCGUGUGCGCCCGCCUGCGGACACCUUUCCGCCCGCGCCGCGGGAGGGCUGGCCCUGCCCCGCCCAGCCUCGCGCCGCGUUCCUGGGCACGUCUGCACCCUCCUGCGCCAGCCCCAGCACCGGGCCGGUCUGCAGAGCGGCACCCGUCGCUUCACGUGCACCCAGCGCCUUCCUGGCCCUGCUUUCCCCUGGCGAUCGCUUCCUAUUUCGCUUUGAAGUUUUGCUCGGUUCCGAUACAUCGUUAGCUUAAGGAAAUGUCACUGCACAUCAUACUUGAUUUUGUAAACCAAAAAUGUGGCUAGAAACAGAAAAAAACCACAGAAGAAACAGCUAAAAUGCUCUUUUCUUAAAUAGACAGUGAAUAUGCAUCCCUACGUCAGCUUAUGCUGGCAUACUUGCGUGAGACAAAUAAAAAUGAUAUCUGGCGUGUUCUUCAGCCGGUUCCUUGCAGCGAUACGCCGCGCGGGAAGUGGCUGGCUGCUCGCUGGAAGCGCGUGGCGGCGAGAAGGAGAGAUCUCGCCGUUUGUCACUGGCCGUACAUCACUGCAGCUGUGCCCUUUGAUUACACAGAGGCCUCCUCCAGCCAUUAAUAAUCGGGAAUACUUUUUGCCUGGCGCAUGCAUCUCAGCGCAGGCCUCUAGCACCUAAGCUUUUCAGCGAGGUAGAAAAGAGGUAGCUAUCCCAUCAUGAAGGCCACAACUGGAUUUGCACUGGAGGAAAGGCUUCUGCAAAGCGCAGUUGUUUUGGAGCUAUUCCAAAUAUCACACAGAAAAGUAUCGUUCCUGUCUCUGCAUCUAUCCUCAAAUGCUGCCCUCUAUUUAUAUUUUGGUAGAACCCACAGUUACUUCAUUGAUGGUCUUCUGACGACGAUAUGGUCCUCUUAAAUCUGUGCUGACAACUUAUUUAGGUCAUGGAGUCAGAGUUUAAUUUCCUCAAGUUAGAUUUAUUCCCACAAGCCGUAAAGAAAUAAGAAAGCACAUGCUUGUUGCUGAUGCAGACGCAGAGCUGAAAAUCUCCGAGGUACAGGAUUUGGCUGGCGCGCCGGUGCUCUCUUUGCAGCCGCAGUUCGUCCCCUCGCGAUUUGCAGACCUGGAGGGGGAGACAACCGCAGAGCGCUGCCCGGGCGCCGGCGGCCGGCCCGCGGGCGCUGCUGCCCACCGGGGCGCUGCGCGUCACGCUUCGCCGAGCCCUGGCUGCAGGCGGUAAGACAGUACAUCAUCCUAGAAACUGCAGUAAAUCCUUGGCAAGAGAGCACAUCCUGAGUAAGUGAAUAGCAUAAUAUAUAUGAAAUAGUAAAAUAUUUUAUUUUUAUAUAGCACCAUUCUUCCGCAGACAUAUAACUCAGAUGAGAAAUAUCACCUGUAUAUAUGAAUAACCAAAUAAGAAUUAAUUAGCUGUGAUUGACUAAGUUUCACCGAGAGAACAUAUCAGUCAGUAUAAUUUAUUUUUCUAUAAAACCAGGAAACUAUGCAAAGCUUACUUUCUGCUAUUUUUGUAAUCUACCUGCUCCAAAUACAGUUAUUAUAUUGGUCACUGAAUUUAAAUGAUGAAUUUCUCUGCUUUUAAAGCUAAGAGAAAAAGAUCACUAAAUUUCUUAUCAGGAGCUAGUGAUAUACUUUUCAAAAAUGCACAGCAUCUUGAAAGUUUGGUUUCAUAUCACCAUUUAUAUUCCUGAGAAAUAGACAUGUCUCACAUUCUGUAGCAGUGUUUUGUGACAUGUGGAUUUACAAUGUUCAAGUUUAAGUCUCUAGCCCUUUGCAGUCUGUCAAAAACAGCUUCUCUGUCCAUUUAUUUUUGUCUUCUGCGCUCAGUCUGAAUAUCUUUUGUAAAUUUAUACUUGACAUCCCUCGUAUUUCAGCAGCUGGCUUUGUUUCACAAUCUACCUUGCUUGCUCUGUUGCAUUAGCUGAAACAACAAAUUUAAUCCAUGAUGUCAAUAGUAAAUUAUAGUGGAGAUGUAAUAUAUGCCUGACAUCACGAAGGUCAAGGCCAUGGUGAAAAUACUGCAAAUAAUAGAUCCAAAGGGUCUUCUCACAGUGGUAGCUGCUUGCUGCACAUUUAAUGUUACGAGGAACAGAUUAGUGCCGCAUACUGCAUUAUGUUAGCCUUUUAGUUACAGCCAGUAUAAAACUCCAGCUAAUGUAAGACAGCUCCCACAACACGAAUAGAGGUUCCAGAGAAGUUUGCUAUGUCAUUAUAUUUCAUAUUCGCUAACUGAUAAAUAAUUAAAACAAGAAUUACUUUACCGAAAAGAUUCAUUUGAAGCACACAUUUUCCAUUACUCUAACUGUUUGGAGGGGUUGGGGGAAACAUUUAUUGCAUACCUUACCUAAACUACCUUGCCAUUAAAGUAGCUAAAUUACCUCAGUGAAUUCUGAGCACAGAAGUAGUUGAUGAAUUGCUUUUUGCAUAAAUGCACUUUCUCUUUGCUAGAACCUAAUUUUGUGUAUAAAUACACAUGUGCGCGCCCACACGCACACACAGAGAUAUGCACAGAAUAAAGCCACUACUGAACUCUCUCAAGAAGAAAAAUUGAAGCCUGGAAUUUUCUCUGUGUAAUGAAGUUUUUCAAAACGUUGCUUGUGUUACAAGCAUCCUCCGACUCUCUGAGGACAGGCCAAAAAUGGGCUCUUCUACAAUGGCGAAAGAGCAGUUAAUGAAUCAUUUUCUCCUGUGUGAAAGUGCUCGUUCCUGUUAAUUUGUCCCUUUUUACAGCCAGGGCUUUUUUUAAUAUAAAAAUUUGCAUUCAGUUAAAAAGCCAGUUUGGUGCCAAAGAGGGAAAAAAAAAAUUCAUGCCAAGUGAACCAUAAACAAAUUCAAUGUCAGUUCAAUGUGUGGCAGAAUAAGGAGAUUUCCAUUCCUUCAAGCUCUCUUAUUUGUUUUAUCUGGCGUAAAGAGGAUCAACAACCAAGGACUUUCAAUCUACAAAUCAUCCCUUUAACUUGGCUCUAAAGUAUUCUCAUUCCUUAACAAGAAAGGAGGGGCCAAAUUUAAGAAGCCUCAGCAUAUCCCUUAGGCCAGGGGCCAGCUACAGCAUCGGGCUUUCUACAUGCCCUGCCUGGAUGUCUUUAAUGGAUGCGGUGGGUUUGCUCCUCAGAGGAGUGGGUCGCCUUUUGCUCCCGGUCUUCAUAGCACUGGAUGGAGGAACGCGGGUGCAGGUUGUGCCUUUUGGCCUCUGUUUCAGCACAGGGCUGGUUUUAAGAAUGUGAGUAGCCCCACGGGGAACACGCAGGGGAAAAUGCUUGACCCUCCUGAAUCGAGGUCAUUAUGUACAAAUCCGCAUUUUGGGAAAUAUGGGGAUUUACCGUCUUUGAAGGAGCUUCGAUCACCACCUGCCUCUGCCUGCGUUCCUUUGUCCUUCGUUCAAAUCCAUGCCAGACUAAGGCGACCAAAAGGUAUUGCCAUUUAUCUUGUCACUGUAUUUGGUGCUCUGCAAGCAGUGAGUUGACAGGUUCAGUUCGGUUCCUUGUGAGUCCUGUGUCCACACCACUUCUUGCGCAUUGGGCUAAAUUUUAUUGAUACCUGUGUUAGCAAAAGUGCCUGAGGAAUGGACGCACAGGUAGACCGGGUGAAAGUCCUGUCGAGAAGCUGUUUGGCAAGGCUAAGUGGGGCACAGUGAUGGAAGGCAGUUACCCAGUCUUGCGCUUUUAACCUCUGAGCCGGUCCCCUAGUAAGGGUAGUUUUCAUUAUAGAUAAUUUGCCCUGAAGGUAUUGCUUUAAGGAUAUCAAGAAGAACCGCAAACAUUCAAGUUCCUGUGAUAUUCUCUUACCUGCAAACAAAAACUAGAAAGAGGAGUUGGUUGCUGAUGGAACCCAUGAGCAGUCUCAGUGUGGGCCGCUUCGACGGCUGUGUAAUCUUGCCCCUAAAGGAGGUUUAAAUAAUGCUGUUAUGUGCUGAUGCUCUUAGCGUUUGCUUUGGUGCGUGAUGUACGGCCAGCGUCUGCUCCAAGAAUCAACAAAUGUGCAUUAUUCCAUUAGCAAUUUUCCAUUUUCUAUAAAGCUUUACAAUUUAUUAGGGUUAUUUAUGUUAAUGUACUAGUGCCUUAUUUUACGUAUUUAUAAUAUCUUCUUCUUUCCUCUGCCCUGAAAAGCAAUGACAAGUUUAGGUGUUGCAGAUCAGUCUGGCUUACAUAACAUUCACAGAUGUUCUUUAUAAAAACUGUGUCGUAGAGAGUCCUGUCUAAGCUUGGAACUGCCACUUUAAUUCAGGUGAAACUCUUACUGGCAUCCCAACAAGCAUAACGAUUUUCCAGUCCUCUGCACCCUCUUUCCUGCUGUUUUUUUAGGAAGGAUGGGAAACUCCAGCAGUAUGAGCAGAGAUUUUUUUUUUUUUUUAAAACAGUAAAAGCUGAGAGAAGUGUAGAAACAGGAGGCUCAAGAAAAGUUUUCUUGCUUUGAAGAUGUGAAUGAGAAGGUUUUGGUAGGAGAAGAAGGGACUCAUAGGGAGCAGCAUGGCACAGUCCCAGCAGGUACCUAAGCGCGUAUCUAUUCAACCAAACUGUUGUUGAUUUUGCUAGUUAUCCAGCAGCUGAUUCCUGCACCUUUUUACCACAGGGACAUCACUCUGGGCCAGGUGCAAGUCCAGGCACCGGUUAGCGUGCUGGUGUGCGUAGCGCGGGAUGCUAAGGCUGUCUUGGAUUGAUACUGGAGCAUGGCUGGCCUGAUCUCUGCCCAGCACUACAGUUUAAAAGCAUGUGUGUGAGGUAAUUAGAGGGAGUUUCACAUUUCAGGAUGCAAAUUGUGUGGUUUUCCCAUGUGUAACUUCUGUUUAUAUUUUUAGCAGUGCUUAUGUUUCCUAUCCACACAUAAUGUAUGUUUUUGGGUAGGUUAGCUUAACUGUUAAGCUAAUAGUUUACCCAUUUUAUUGUUGAAUUUUGAUCUCUGUCAUUUUUAGUUGUACACCUGCACUUGCAAGUGGACAUGUCCUUGAAAACAAUGAUAGAGCAAGAAUAUAUUUUAGUUAGAAAGGCCAAUGAAAAUAACACAGAAUGGUGGACUUGUACUCUGGAGUUUUCCAUAUUGUUUCCUCACUGUAGCUUUCUCAGGUGACUUCCUAACGCUGCAAGAAAGGAUAACUGGUCUACUUAAAAUGCCUUGCUGCUAAAAUAUGAAUACACUGUUUCAGCCAUAAAACUGCUUUAUCUGUGGAAUGGUUUCGCUGAAAUGAAUUUAUCCAAACGCCUUUUGAUGAGCCACAGACCACAUCUGGCUUCCCCUUCUUCUGCCCCAGCAGCUUGACUCAGUUUCAGCCACAUCAGUUCCUAAAUUCCUGUGUAAAACAGCAAAGGAGGAUGCCAUGCAUACGAUAACCCCUUAUUAACGCGAAACUGCAUCGACACUGACAGCUCGCUCACACAGGCCACCUAACCGCCAUCAGAUGCUGAGGGGUGUCAGCCUCUGCUGAGGGGACAUCAGUGGAUCCCAGUGACGGAGAGCUGUGCCCUCUUUCCAGUGCCCCGCAUGUUCCCACUUCCAGAAGGCACCUGUGGACCCACAUCCAGCAGCUUCCAACACAUUUCUAUUUAUUUGCCUUUUCAGCUGACUUCAUUAUUAUUCUUGAUAUUUCUGAAACCAUUUUUCAGAUAUAAAGAAAUCCUUCCCUUUCCAAGGAUAUUUCCAAGGCUGUGGACUAUUUAGGACUCUACUGACCAUGAGUAUUAUUUAUUUAAAUGUAAAUUUCUCCAAAUCACAAAGUUUAACAGAAUCUGCACAAUGAUCCAUAAGAUUCAGUUAGCAUUUUUAUUUGUUCUAAAUGCCCUGAAAGGAGGAGUUUCAUCUCCAAAAUAACAGAAAAGUCUACCAUGAUCUUAUAACACCUGUAGUGUUUAUGAUUCUCCUUCGAAUAUCAGGAGUUUCUUAAGAGUCCUGAUGGGAUAUCAUGCAUGGUCAUGGUCUGUUGAUGGGAUGACAGGACAUCUGUGGUCAGACGAAAUCUGAUCCACAAGGGUAAAGUAACAGUGCGGAACACAAUGUUCACCUUUACAGAAAGAAAAUGAUGUCUACAUUGCUGUAGCAAUGCUGCUUCUUAUAAAACCCGCUACCAUUUUAGCUAAAUAGUAAUAUCUGUACUUAAUUUAGCUGAGUUGGAUCUUAUAAUCUGAAUUAUUUUGGUCAACCGCUUAGAACAAAAUGCUUUCUUUCAUGAAAUGACUUUAAAAACACCCUAAGAGCCCCCAGACAAGAAUAGCAGCUGGGUUUGGUUUCAUUUUCAGAGAACUGAUUAGAAAAUGAGGUUUUCUACGCUGCGACAGUUAAUGGUUAAAAACAACAGUAAUCAGAAGCUAGGCCCUAGUCUGGUCCAAUGGACUUGUGGAUUCCUUCCGUUAGAGCCUGUCCUCAGAGAUUUCCUUCUGCAAGCACAUUCUCCACACCAGGAGUCAUUCUUUUUUUGAGAAACAGUUCCCAAGAAGAAAGCUUUCUUGGUAGGGAGUGCCUACCAUAGAGGGAGCUCCCACCACGUCGUAAGCCCUCAUGAGUUCUUCAUAUCCUUCCUAAUGGACAAGGAGUGUGCAGAUCUAGUUGUUCAAGUGAGAUGGAUCAUCUGAAAUCAGUAGGGGAAAAGCGUCAUUCAGCUUGGGAGGUCAAGUCCAGCUAGAGUUUAGCUGCAUCCCCCUCUUCCAUGGCACCCCCUGCCUCCGUCGCUCCUGCCCUGGCUCCUUUGGGAGCCGUAGCAGCUCCAGGGAGCUCCCAGCUGAUGGAGGGAGCUAAUUCCUCCCUCGCAACACUCACAACACCUCCGAAGGUACGUUGGGUUCCUCAGCUGCAGCGAGCGCAGGAGCAAGGGCAGCGGGUGGGUUUUGGUUGGGGCCGCAGUGCGCACAAAGAAGAGCUCGUGUUGCGGACCCAGAGUUUCAAUGGCUCCUCUAUUCGCAGGCUCAUCAAUGCCCACGCUUUCGGUUCCCGUCCCAGGGCUAGACUGUACAUAACUAGCUAACUGUACACACUGCAGCCUUGCUCCCACAACUUCCACUCUUUCCAAAUGGCAGCCUUUCUGAAUUGAAUGUAUAAAAAUGUCCUUCUAUAAAAGGGAAAGAAAAUGAGAGUGCUGUUUUCUGCAGAAAACCCGGCUGAUUAAAAAAUAAAUAUAAGGGAAAUAUAUAGCAACCAAGUGUAAACUUUGUUUCUCUUCACUCUUGUAAAACUCCAAAAAACAAAUAGCCUCAGAAUGUGCUCUCUGUCUUGGGUCUUUGGGCAACAAGGGCACUCAGAGCUCAGAACACUGGCAGGAGUAAAUUACAAGCUGGUUCAUGGGGGAAAAAAUUGGAGUCAUUUUUGUGUUGUUUGCAGAACUGUAUAUCUUGCUAGGGCUUGAAAAACACUGCUUUGGAUUUCCCAUUUAAAUUGCUCAUAGAGCAGGUAGCUUCUUUGGGGAAGCUAAGAAACAAAUUAAAAUGUUGUUUGUGGCCACUGAAACACACUGAAAGCAUAUACUAAUUAUGACAAACGUUAUUCUUACGGAUGUAACCAUAUGCUGCUGCCAUAAAUUACUAUUUGCAUUGCAGCAGCACCCUAGGCUAUGUCUGAAAGAGGAGACUCGGGAGUGCCCCUGGACAGUAGCCCCAGAGGCUGGGGUGAUGGCUCCAGCCAUGUCCAAGCCUCAUGGCAGGUGACCCGGCCGUGCUCCGGUUUUCUUCCCCCAGCUCCUCCUUUAACCUCGUAUUCCCACCAAAUGGCAAUCCACGGGCGCUGACGGGAGCUGCGCGUGCUCCAGCACCUAUCUCGCCAGGGUGCCGGGGCACCGGUGCCCAGCACGCGCUGUCCACUGCUCUGGCCCGGGGGUAAGUGCAGCCCUUAAAGAGCCCACCAUGAGCAGCACCUCGCGGUACGGGGAGCUGCAAGAACCCAGAGCUGCCUUCGCGGUCCCUGCAUCAGUGCAUUACAGCCUUGUAUACAAAAAGAACGUGCUUCAUGCUGACAAAAAUAGUCAAAAAAGUGUUUUGGAGUAUUAUUUGUUUUGGGGAAAGUGAAGUUUAAAUUGUAAAAUACAUAACAAAAUACUGAACUGUUUGACCUUGCUCAGGCAUAAAUGGGUAAGUUGUUGCUGAUGUCUGGGAACCUUCUCCUUAGAUAAUUUUUUGGUGCUUAUUUGUCAAAAUGAGACAUUUUCAAAGGAAAAUUUCAAUGAAUGCUUUCUGAAGAAAGGUUUCUCAGCUUCACUUUGUGGUUAAAACCAGAGAUAAAAGGGAACAGACAGACUCAGAAGAGCCUGGCAGGAGGGUCACUGACUUAAACCAGAGGAGACCUGCCGUUAAGUGGGUGCUGUCCUCAGCCCCUUCAAGAGGUUCACAGCAUGACCUGCAGCAUCCUGGAGCAGACCUGUGAGCUAUUUAUCUGUUUGUGUGUUCCCUUUGCUUUUCUGCUAUGGUCUCUCUUUCUUUCUAACUUGCAUUUUGCACAUUUAUUUAUUAAAAAAUAAAUGUUCUUUUUCUUUUUCUUUCUUUUUUUUUUUUUUUUAAAGUAACUUGGUCCUAUCCCAGUAGAGAACAGAAAAUUGUUAGAAAUCUUGAAAACUCUUGUGGGCCCAGAACAAGAUUUCUUUCCCAGCUCGCCAGGGGGGCAGAUCCUCCAUCACCUCUGAAAGUGGGGACAUACUAAAUGCUCAACAUGGGGGCUUCCAGUCUGAGCGGGUCAGUUCUUAUCUCUAAACCCAUUUUGUGAGGUCUCUCCAGCCCUGCUGAAACAGGCAUUAGCUUGCGUCAGCUGCUCUCCCAAAGACAAGGAAACCCCCUCCAAAACCACCUGGAGCUGCAGCAUAGCUUUGUGAUUGCUAAAGCCAGGCCUGUGCCCUGCCUUUCCUGCCCCAGCUCUGGAUAUUUAGAGCUGUAUAAGAUUCACUUUCAGACCACUACAGAAAUUCAAGACCCUACUUAUAGCAUGUGCAAGAUUUUCUGAAAAAAACCUGUGAAGAGACCUUACAUUUCCUUCCUCCUGGCAUUUGCGUCUGCUUUGCUGGCAGUGAGCUCUAAUUGCCAGGGACACAAUCGGCUGCGCGCUUACCUGUGAUUAAUAGACGUGAUCUUUCCAGAAUGAUAAAUGUCGGCAAGUAAAGACUGUGACUGUAUCUCUGUUACAUCACAGAUUAUCAAAAACCCUACAAUGUGCACAUGAUAAUAAGAAUCCAUGGGAGCUACGAGUGCUGCCUAAGAGUUCCUCCUGCCUGGAGUUUGAUUUUUAUGAGGCUCGGUGUGGGCAUGUCCUCCCUGGUGCUGGAAUUCAAUAGUUCCCUUCCUUAGCUGUUGCUCAGCUCCGUUCUGGUUAUUUCCCGCAGAUUCCUCUCUGAGAUCCCCUGUAGGCAGUGAGAGGGGUCGGUCCUCCGAGCAGAGGGACAAGCUGGUGCCCAAGGAGAAGCGCACACACUCCAGCGGGGAUCUUCUGGGCGGCAAGCAGGGAGGAACUGCCCUUCCUCACAGCAACUUGCAACCUUCUUCUUCCUCCCCUCUUUGCUGUGGUGGCACAAAAUCCCUCCCUCACAUUUUUGGCACAACGCCAGCUGCUAUUGCCAUUGCGGAGGCGGGUGGUUGGGGGCGCUGCGGCCAGGCCCUACCCGUUCCUUGGACCUGCUCGGCGUGAGAAGAAAGCCCCUUCCUACUGCAGCCCCCGUCCUUCCCUGCGCAUACAGGGCUGCAUCCUCCACGCGUCCAAGUCACGGCUGAAACCGGGGAGCCCACUUCACAAAGUUGUCCAAAAGUUCUUCAAAAUGGUGACCAUGGGCCUUGCUCGGUUUCCUGGGAGAUGGGACAGCACUUGAGACCUCCUCAUUGACUUGGCUUCCCCCAGGAUAGACUUGAAUAUUUAUCAUCAAAAUGAUAAAAUACAGUAACUGGAAAAACUACAGGCUGGAUUGGGUUGGUUCCUUGUAAUAUGGAGCAAACAUUUAAAUACAAAUGAGAGAGUUUUGUUAUUCCAGACCAGCCCUGACAGGCCUGCGACAUAGCCCAAGGCUUUGACUGGAGUGCCAGAAAGCUCAAAGGUGUUCAUCCUCAUAAUUUUGCUUAAAUCAUAUUGCCAGUACAAUGGCUUUAUUCAUGUUGCUUGUUCACAGCCUGCUCCGGAAACCUAGUCUCUUGCUAAAAGCUGGAAGCCUUCAAUGAGCCCCAGAGUGAGGGAGAGCAGGGGCACAGCCAGCGGCGACAAGGGGCUUGUCUUCAUGUGUGAUCACAUCAAGCUGCCUCGGACACUCAGUUGGGAAGGCUGCUACGUGCCCCAGCCCUCGGAGGGGAACCCGCGCCGGCGCCGGCCCCACCGGGGCUCCCUGCGGCCAGCACAACGGCGCGGGACCGUGGAGUUGCGGCACUUCAGAGACCUGCUGUGUCCCACAUCACAGGGUCACCAGCAACAGUCGUGUACAGCUAGGUAAAAAUACACUUUUUGAAACACCUAAACACAUUGGCCUUUGGUAAACAUUGUGUAGCUUUUUUGGUCUUGCAAGUAAAUAAUGCAAGUUUUCUACACAUCAAGAAAAUUCUCUGCUUUCCCCGCUUCACUUCAUAUUAUCAUAAGAAGAAAAGAAAUGACAGACAGCUAUUGUCCAAUUAAACAGACUGACUGAUGCUUUUAACAUUGAUAUUUCCUUUUUUUUUCCCCCCCUUCUACAUUUGGAAAUCAUAGAAAAGAAAUAGCAGCUCUACAACUUCAAAGCGCUUUGUAGCACUGGAUGUCAUUAGAGAUAUUUGAGCUGUUCUUCCUACCCCGACGGCUCUGGCUCUCACAUGCUGCACGCGCUGAACAACAGUAAGCAGAGAACAGAUGACGCUUUACUCAAGCAGCAAAGUUUGGGUGUAAACAUAUACCCGAAGGGACAUGGCUUUCCAGCGGAACAGUGGUACAGGGAGGGGAAGCUUUACUGUCCAGAGCAACCUGAAGACUUCAUACGCUUGACUUUGUUUCUGCCCCAGGCUGCCCGGUAUCCUGACGCAACUGGCUGCAUGGUUUGUGGGAGAAAAUGCCUCCCCCCGCCACCAUUUGGGAUGGACUUUCUACUUACAUAGCAAAGACAAAUUUUAAGUCAAAAGUAAAAAUACUGUUGGUUGUAUUCCCAGACAAUAGUCUCCACUGGCAAGAUAUUCCAGUUGCCAGUAAAAAAAUUUGGACAAACACUCCUGUUUGAAGCACUUCUGUGUUUCUGAGGGUUGGGGACCCCCCCCAUGGCCCAGCCACACCCUUACCUGCAACAGGAUAAGGCCAAAGCAGAGGUCUGUCCCUCAGGACCUCGCUCGCACUCUGUUAUAGGCAGCCUGACCCUUUUACUCGUCGUCCAGAUCUCAACCCUGCUGGAAGUAUCAACCGUCCCCUGCCCCUGCUGCCCUGCAUCAUCUCCUGCUGCUUCCCUCUGCUGUGGGCAUAAGCCAGAUGCUUCAGCGAAAGACAAAAACCCUAGGUGCGUGUACGCUCCCUGCCUGUCCCUCGUCUCCGCUCUCUCCAAGCACGGCACGUAUUUUCCGGCACAGCAGAGUGCACAGAGCAGCACAGCGGAGCACAGCGGCAGCAGCGCCGUGACCCGGCACGACACCGUGACGUCUCCUUCCCAGGGGCACGAGGCGGCUUUGCGCGUCCCCUGCACAUCGCCCUGAUCUCUUAGCGGGACAAGCGGUUUAGCCGGUUAUUUGUACGGACCUGCCUUGCCAUUUAACAGUUAAUGCAGCGCCUCGUACCGCGCGCAGCGCCGUGAGGCCUCGGAGGUGUCGCGCUUGGCGGGCACAGCUCACACUCGCAGCACCAUUACUUCAGCUUCCUGCAAGCUCGUUAGUUUACUCAGCCUUCAUGUCUGCCAGGCUAUUUUUGCAGUGACAAAGCCUGGAAACGUCAGGCCAAAUUCUCUGCCAGGACGGGCUGGCACGGCCCCAGCGCGCGCCGGGGCAGGGUGCGGGCAGCGGCCGGGCUCGGGGGGAGCAGACCCGGCUCCCACCGGGGACCCCCUGGGCGCGCGUCACACCCGGCGCCUCGCCUGUCGCACGGAUGCGUCGCCCCUUCAGCAGUAAAACGCCUCUAUGAGCUUGAAAGCCAUGAUUUUUCUUACCCAGCUUUUUGUGAUGGAAACCUGCUGUUUCUGCUUCUCCCCACUGCGGCGGCCAGGCGAGUGCCAGGCUCCCCAGCCCCCACGCUCGACCUGGCCGUGCCACCGAGCUGCGCGGCUGUGGCCGGCCGACAGCGCCCUGCACCACACACCAGCUGCUGGGAUGUUAUUCGGUCGUCUCUGAGCGCGGUGACUUGGGUGGACGCAGGGCUGGGGCGGCAGAAGCGCUACGCCGUGCCUCGAAGGCAGGCAGUAAGGGCGCUCUUUCAGAACGGCGCAUUAUCCGUAUGGAAAAUUCCCUCCAACCAGGAGAAUGUGAAGCUAGUAUUUUCAGGAUUACAUUUGUUCCAGUUUAAUGGGCUGUAUCUCGUAUGCACCGAAAGGGUGCUAAGCAAUGCUUCUGUAGUUACAGAUAGGUCAGUUUUUUCACUGUAAACACACUUUCUGGGAAUAUAGUUCAGCCACUUCAAUCCGCACCUGCCUGCAGCUCGCAGGACAAGCGCUGUGCCUGGGUGCAGUGCCUCCUCCCUAACCAGCGCUGUCUAAGCCAGCCAGGUUGCUCUUAGUUAAAGAGCUAUGAAUGCAAAGCGAUUUAUCUGGGCUCAGUUCAAAUACCGCCAUUCUUCUCUUGAGGAGGAAGAGAAGGACUUAAAACAGAGACGGGAAUUUCAGACAAGUUCCUUCUCUAAGAACACCCACUAGUUGCUAUGGAUGUAGAUCAGCUCAUUUUCAUAAUUAUUUCCAAUGCAGAGCACUGUCACAUCUGGCAGUGUCACAGGGAUAGCGCUAGAAUAUACACAGCGAAGCGUUUAGUCCAACGAGCAUAUUAAAUCCCAAAGAGGCGAGUGUGGCUUUCCAGUCCAAGAUAUGCACAGUGCACAUUACGCUGCUGAACAGUAGCAACAGAUCUUGUCUACACAUGGAGUUAUUUCUCCAAAAUCAUGUCUGGAUUCUCCCUAUUCCAGAAAAAAGUGUGUUUGAUGCUGUUUCAUUUAAGUCAUUUUCACUGUAAAUUAAAAAAAAACGGGAAGGAAGAAGUUUUAUUCUCGAGUAAGUGAGUCCAUACACAGAGCUCUUUAAAUACCUUCUAUACUAUAAAUUUACAUCCUACCUCAGUCUAACUCUGAACUGCAGAUAAAAUUGUAUUUAUAAAGAAUACAUCCUCAGGGGAUGAGAACUGUUGCUCAAAACGCCAUCCAAAUGUUGAAAAUGUAAUAUUUACACUGGAGAGGUGCCAUCCUCAUCUGGGAGGCUAAUGGAUCAGAAAAACCUGCCUACGAAAAGAUGACUGUGGGAGGGGCUGGGAGGUCAGCAGUUUCUUUUUUUCCCCCUCCCUUUUUAACAAAAUCGUACUUCCUGGUGUUACGGUUUAAAUUAGAUUUUAAGAAGUUCAUUAUGAGGCAUCUGUUUAAAAUAUCAAUAUUGAAAUACAAUUCAAUAACACUAAAUGUACAACAGCAAGAGAUGUGAAUUAAUACCGCCUCUCCCACUUACCCUGCCUCUUGCAUCAGUGUUUUGCGUGCACGCAACUACACGCAGCUUCCCACAUCUGCUGGGUCCUAAAGAGGGCCAUGGGCUGUGAACAGCCAGUCUUGCCUUUGAACGUCUUCCCACGCCCUUGCAUGGUCCAGAUCAGACCUGGUGGUCUUACAUACAGCAUAGAAUUCAACUUAGUUGAUUUACAUUAAUAUUUUAGUCAAAGUAGUUAUAGAAAGCCAAAAUGCUUUACGGCUUCUGUUUGCCAGUUUACGCCGGCUGUUGCUGUUUAUAUUACCUGGAGAAAAACGCAGCUAACAACACAUGCAGAUCAGUUGUGGAGGAGCUAAUUUUGGUUUCUUCUAAAGCCAACUUUGUAUCUCUUCCAUAUGGUUGAUACAAAAUAUUAUGACACAGCCAACGAAAACGUGACUCCAGUGAAGCCCAUGAGGUUAGCGGUUGACUUCAGGACCGCCAAGAUUUCAUCCAGUAUUUGUUUCUAUAGCAUAGGGUCCAGCUGCGCUGCAGCAACAAAAUAAAAACCUCAACAGCAACAAAAGCCCGAUGCUAUUAAUCAGCUCGGAAAGACCUGGCUAACGGACUGCAGGACAGGCCGCUGCCGGCCGCUGCGUGCCUCUAAAGCCUGCAAGCAGCCAGCGAAACCCCACCGAAGACGGACACGUGCAGCCAGGUCCCUGCGGCCGGCCGCCACCCCGCCUGCCUGCGGCAGCAUCGUCCUCCUCGUCCUCCUCACCCCCAACUCGCCUUCGCCUCCGCCCUCGGCCCUCGGCAGCACCGCACCGCAAACAGCUCAGCCCCCCGCGACACCGCGGCGCUUCUGAAGCCCGUAUUUAAAAACACGGGUGGUGCGGCCCUGCCCGUCACACCAUAAACAGGGAUGUCUCAGGAGGGUUCCCAAAAUCCAAAAAACAUUGGAGCUGAUCCUGAGGUCCUUCAGUAAUGGAAACAACCCCCAGACCUCUUCACUUCGCUUAAAAACUCUUCCAAGUGGUGCAGGCGCUCCCCCACCUUGCCCACACCUAGGGGGAACUCUGAAAUGCUUCGGUGGCUUUUCAAUUCCUGUAAGUUCAAAGCUUUGAUCACACUGCUGCUACACUUACUGCCUGCAAUUUUGCAGUCUUUACAUUAUAUCUGGUGACAGAGGACUAAAAAUUUCAUUAGAGGGCAGAGAAAAUCAUUAUUUAGCGCUUAUUGGAAAGUUGUGCAUUUUCAUAGAUGGUUUGGAGCUCAGAUUUCUUUUUUUUUUUUUAAAUGCAGCAGAGUGUGAUAUGGAAAUUUUCUUCACCUUAAAGAGCACAACAUCUUUUGCCCCCAAAUAUUCUCACCAAUCCUCUGUGAGCAUUACUAACUGCACUGAUUAACGUCAAAUUAUUGAAGUUUUAUACAAAAAUAUGAGAUGGAAGAAAAGCAAAGAUUUUGCUAUUUAUUCAAAAGUAUUUUAUUUCUAUAAUUUAUUAGUAAAGAUGACUAUGAGCUACACAAAAAUAACUUCAUUCUUUUAGUAAGAGGUGAUGAAUGUCAGGGCGUAUAAAAUAUUAUGAGUGUCGAAUCACUGCGAUAGACAUUUCUGUGGCUGUAUGCUCUGCAUAUGCACACAGGUCUAGCCAACUUUAUGUACAAACAGAAAUACCUAUUUUUAGAAACCAGUCCUAAUUUAAGACAUUCAAGCUAAAGCAAGCGCGAUUCAACACUACACCUCCACCUUUCCCAUUCAUUGCUAUGACUCAAAAUAAAGCACAAUAUUGCUUUCAGUUUUGCUUUUUAACCCUGCCCUGACAUGCGGGGUAUGAAUCCCACAGUACUAACAUACACUCUACUUACAGAAUUGCUAAAAUUGUUACCAAACCCACCUUCCCGGCCCCCGCCCCACCUCGGUGCGAACAAAGCUCUUUGUUCCUGCUCCCACCAAGCAUCUUUAAGCCGGUUUUUGCCUAAAGACCCGCCGGGGCCGCGGGGGCACGUCCGGGCCGGGCUCGCGGCGUCCCCCAGCCCCUGCCCCGGCCCCAGCCCCAGCCCCUGCCCCGGCCCCGGCCCCGGGCCGCCGCGCUUCUCUCCGCACGCAAGUUGGCCUUGAACAUCAGCCGUGCCCCACGAGCAGCGGCUGUCCUCCGCACCUGAGUAAAACGAACUUGAAACAUUGUCUACGCACAGGUCAAGGUCAAUUCAAACUUUUUAAACCUUUAACAACCAUCAAAUUGGAAAGCUGCAGUAGGAAGCGAUGGGGUGAACGACGUGAUGGCCUGGGAGCCGUUAACUUCGGGAGAGAAGCGCUGGCGAUUGUUCCUCCGAGAGAAAGAGCAAACUGAGAAACUCCUGGAGUGUAAACAUGCAAACAAGCUAGGCGUUAUUUAAUCCGUAACGCGCCCCACUGAUGUAACCCUCUCCUAGCGCCCUGAGUUUUCUCCUGAAACAUCAGAAAAGGCCUGAGGAAAAAGGAUAUAUGGCAUUCCCACCGCCGGAGAAACCAAAAACGGAGGGGCAGGGUUCAGCGCCCGGCCCCCGCGGCACCCCGGUGAGGUGCGCAGGGCUGGGCAGGUCUCUCCAGCGCUGGCAGGGGGAGGACAACCACAGCGGGACAAUUUCGGGGAGCAGCAGGAUGCUGGGGGCUGCGGGCUGCUCCGUCCCCGCCAGCGCCAGCCCGGGGAGAGGGACGCGCUGGAUGUGGGAGCGAAACUGCCCUCCGCAGGGGCCAGAUCAUGCCGUUGGAGACCUGGGGGACUUGGUCGGGGCAAAUCCGUGGCCACUCUGAUCCUGUAGUUACACAUCACCUCUCUUUAUGGCCCUGUUAUGUUCCUUUUAAUGGGCCGUCAAGCAGGCCGCACUAAUAAAAUCAGCAUACUCCAGGCACACAGUAUGUUGCCGAACCUGCUGAUGCUGCAGUGGCAAUGAGAAGGUACGCGUUAAUCAUCGCAAGGGGCCAAAUCCUGGUCCUGUUCACGUCAGUGGGAUUUUUGCCAUUGUCCACAAUGAGACUGAAGGUGUGGCCAAAGAGGCAUUUUUCCAUGAGCUUUGUAACAUCAGGCACAAAGCUGGACGGUGGUAGGCUGCGGACUGAUGGAAUAAAAAAUGGCAGUUUAGCACUUUAUCAUACGCAUAUUUACAUGCAACAUCCCAGCAGCGUCUUUUAUAAAACAACUGUGAAAACAAUAAACUAGGAAAAUCAGUCCACAAGCCUUUGAUUAAAGAGGAGAAGACGAGAUGUUCUGUGAGAGUCUCUUGGGUUGUAGCCACAGAGCUGCUACUGACUGGAGCGGGAUUUGCGCAGCUGCGUUCCCAUUCACAUCCCAUUCAGAUUUCUGAAAAUAAAUCUAAGGAUGAUGAUGAACCCACAAAGUCAAGCACACUCCCUUCUGAAAAUCUACCAAAGGGACUUCAAUCAGGAUUCUAAUUUUCUUCUUCCAAAAUUGCUGGCAAAACAUGUGAAAAUACUCUUUCAGGGUGCGCUUUUUUUUGGUCGGCAAAUCAUUUGUUUGCUAAAAACUAUCAUUUCACCAAUCAGAGCAAAACAUAACAAAAAACAUGGGCCCUCAAAGCAAUAAAAAUCUUUCCAGGGGCUUGAGUGCCAUUACUGGAGAAGAAAGGCCUCGUUCCUGUAGGUCAGAUAGAAGGAGGCUCCCCUGGUAUGCAGGAGCCCCUAAGCCCAUCCCUUCUCUACCGAUUCAAGCGCAGACUGGAAUCCACAUCUGCCACCGCCCAAAUGCGGUGCUGUGACGUCUUCCAAGGUAGGUCGUCAGGUGAAGGCACUCCAGGGAGCCCAAGGGAAGACAGAAAAUAAGUUCAAUUAAUCUGUCCCAUGAAUUUUUAUUAAAACGCCUACAGUUGGAGGGAUAAGGAGUGAGAGGCUGGAGCUGCUGAUGAGGUCAUCACAUUUGAAAAAAAUGCAUAUUCCUAUUAAAACUCUAACCUUUUCUUUCCUAUGCAGUCAUCUGCUGCAGAAAUCAGUAUACUGCAGAUGUAUAAAAGGACAAAGGUACUUAUGAAGAUAAUAAUGAUAUAAACUUAAAUUAUAUAAAAAUAAGAGUUGAAAGGC